CCCUUAGAUGUUCUGGGCCGCACGCGCGCUACACUGAUGCAUUCAACGAGUCUAAAACCUGCUCUGAUAGGGGUGGGUAAUCUUUUGAAUGUGCAUCGUGAUUGGGAUAGAUGAUUGAAAUUUUUCAUCUUCAACGAGGAAUGCCUAGUAAACGCAAGUCAUCAGCUUGCAUUGAUUACGUCCCUGCCCUUCGUACACACCGCCCGUCGCUCCUACCGAUUGAAUGAUCCGAUGAAUAUCAUGGAUUGAGGAUGCAAGUAGGUUCACCUAUCUUCAUCUUCGAGAAGUGAAGUAAAUCUUAUCAUUUAGAGGAAGGAGAAGUCGUAACA
rnacentral:rRNA from 1 species